AGUGAACGCUGGCGGUAGGCCUAACACAUGCAAGUCGAACGGCAGCACAGUAAGAGCUUGCUCUUACGGGUGGCGAGUGGCGGACGGGUGAGGAAUACAUCGGAAUCUACUUUUUCGUGGGGGAUAACGUAGGGAAACUUACGCUAAUACCUCAUACGACCUACGGGUGAAAGCAGGGGAUCUUCGGACCUUGCGCGAUUGAAUGAGCCGAUGUCGGAUUAGCUAGUUGGCGGGGUAAAGGCCCACCAAGGCGACGAUCCGUAGCUGGUCUGAGAGGAUGAUAAGCCACACUGGAACUGAGACACGGUCCAGACUCCUACGGGAGGCAGCAGUGGGGAAUAUUGGACAAUGGGCGCAAGCCUGAUCCAGCCAUACCGCGUGGGUGAAGAAGGCCUUCGGGUUGUAAAGCCCUUUUGUUGGGAAAGAAAAGCAGCAGGUUAAUACCCCGCUGUUCUGACGGUACCCAAAGAAUAAGCACCGGCUAACUUCGUG
rnacentral:rRNA from 1 species